rnacentral:rRNA from 1 species
AACGAACGCUGGCGGCAUGCCUUACACAUGCAAGUCGAACGGUAACGGGCCUUCGGGUGCCGACGAGUGGCGAACGGGUGAGUAAUGCAUCGGAACGUACCUUUCAGUGGGGGAUAACGUAGCGAAAGUUACGCUAAUACCGCAUAUUCUGUGAGCAGGAAAGCAGGGGAUCGCAAGACCUUGCGCCGAUUGAGCGGCCGAUGUCAGAUUAGCUAGUUGGUGAGGUAAAGGCUCACCAAGGCGACGAUCUGUAGCGGGUCUGAGAGGAUGAUCCGCCACACUGGAACUGAGACACGGUCCAGACUCCUACGGGAGGCAGCAGUGGGGAAUUUUGGACAAUGGGGGGCAACCCUGAUCCAGCCAUGCCGCGUGAGUGAAGAAGGCCUCGGUUGUAAGACGCUUUGUUCAGGGAAGAAACGGGUACUGAUCUAAUAAAUUAGGGCUAAUGACGGUACCUGAAGAAUAAAGCAACCGGCUAACUACGUAGCCAGC